rnacentral:rRNA from 1 species
UACGAAGGGUGCAAGCGUUACUCGGAAUUACUGGGCGUAAAGCGGGCGAAGGCGGUUGGGUCAGUCGAUGGUGAAAGCCCCACGCUCAACGUGGGAAUGGCCAACGAGACGGCCCGACUGGAGGCAGGGAGAGGCCGGUGGAAUUCCGGGUGUAGUGGUGAAAUGCGUAGAGAUCCGGAGGAACACCAGAGGCGAAGGCGGCCGGCUGGACCUGACCUGACGCUGAGGCACGAAGGCGUGGGGAGCGAACGGG